rnacentral:rRNA from 1 species
UACAACUUUCAGCAACGGAUCUCUUGGCUCUCGCAUCGAUGAAGAACGCAGCGAAAUGCGAUAAGUAAUGUGAAUUGCAGAAUUCAGUGAAUCA